GAACGCUGGCGGCGUGCCUAAUACAUGCAAGUCGAGCGAACAGAUGAGGAGCUUGCUCCUCUGACGUUAGCGGCGGACGGGUGAGUAACACGUGGAUAACCUACCUAUAAGACUGGGAUAACUUCGGGAAACCGGAGCUAAUACCGGAUAAUAUAUUGAACCGCAUGGUUCAAUAGUGAAAGACGGUUUUGCUGUCACUUAUAGAUGGAUCCGCGCCGCAUUAGCUAGUUGGUAAGGUAACGGCUUACCAAGGCAACGAUGCGUAGCCGACCUGAGAGGGUGAUCGGCCACACUGGAACUGAGACACGGUCCAGACUCCUACGGGAGGCAGCAGUAGGGAAUCUUCCGCAAUGGGCGAAAGCCUGACGGAGCAACGCCGCGUGAGUGAUGAAGGUCUUCGGAUCGUAAAACUCUGUUAUUAGGGAAGAACAAAUGUGUAAGUAACUAUGCACGUCUUGACGGUACCUGAUCAGAAAGCCACGGCUAACUACGUG
rnacentral:rRNA from 1 species